rnacentral:tRNA from 1 species
UCUAAAUUGGCAGAGUAAUUGCAUAAGAAUUAGAAUCUUAGUAUAAGUUUUAUCUUAUUUAGAA